GCAUCAUUAGCUCAGUUGGUAGAGCAGCAGACUCUUAAUCUGAAGGUCCUCGGUUCGAAACCGAGAUGAUGCACCA
rnacentral:tRNA from 2 species